rnacentral:rRNA from 1 species
CGGGAGGCAGCAGUUAGGAAUCUUCCACAAUGGGCGAAAGCCUGAUGGAGCGACGCCGCGUGAGGGAUGAAGGCCCUCGGGUUGUAAACCUCUAAAAGGGGGACGAUAAUGACGGUACCCCUUGAAAAGCACCGGCUAACUCCGUGCCAGCAGCCGCGGUAAUACGGAGGGUGCAAGCGUUAUCCGGAAUCACUGGGCGUAAAGGGCGUGUAGGCGGCCUGUUAAGUCCGAUGUUAAAGACCGGGGCUCAACCCCGGCACGGCGUUGGAUACUGGCAGGCUAGACGGCAGGAGAGGAAAGUGGAAUUACCAGUGUAGCGGUGGAAUGCGUAGAUACUGGUAGGAACACCCAUUGCGAAGGCAGCUUUCUGGACAGCCCGUGACGCUGAGGCGCGAAAGUGUGGGGAGCAAACCGGAUUAGAUACCCGGGUAGUCCACGCCCUAAAC